GCCAUAUGUUGAAGGUACAUUUUUUUUUCUAAAGAAGGAUAUUACUUAUUUUUUCAUAAGGAUGAAGAAUCAUAAAUUAUUGCAAUAAUUCUAACAACAAAUAACUGGUAGGUAUGGAAUGUAAAUCCCCAGGUAACAGGUGCUUUAAGUGACGUGGGUUCAUAGAAGAAAGCCUACAUAUUAAAUUUUAAAUUAAAGCAGCAUUUUUAGGUGGAACAUAUUAUUUUGGUAGGCACUCAGAAGUGUAUAAAAUGCAAUCAUUCUUUCUUAAGUCCUGAAGACACAACUUACAAUCCAGAACCUACGGGUAAAAUUAGAAAAUUUAGAUAUGAGAUAAAUAAGUUACCCUGAAAGGUUUAGCUGUUAAACACUGAUUUUCUUUUCUUUGGAUUGUUAGGAGUGAAUAGAGGACUAUACUUGGGCCCACUGUCAUAAUGAUAUAAAAUAACAAACUGUUAGAUUUAAAUAACAAUUUAAUGAAAGAGAAAACAAUCCCAAAAUGCAUGCAACAAACCAUUAUGCUUUAACCCCUUAAGGACCAAACUUCUGGAAUAAAAGGGAAUCAUGACAUGUCACACAUGUCAUGUGUCCUUAAGGGGUUAAAGGAGGCAUUUUGUUAUAUAUUAUACCAUGUUUAUGUUGGGGGUAUCGGCUUAAUGGAUAUGAAAUUCUAAUUCAUGAUGGCCCUUUUGCUUUGCAGACAUGUCUACUAUAAUGGCUGCUACAAUAUAGUGGAUAUUCAAGGCUUUUAUAUCAGAAACAGAAAUCAAUCAGAGAACAUGAAAUAGAUAUAAUAGGAUUACCAUUUCUCCAAAUUAAAAUAAAAGACUUGAUGCAAAGUGCACUCAGCAAAAUCAAUCUUAAGUAAAUGCAAAGUUGUGUUAUAGGUUUCAAAGUAUCUUCUAAAUGGGAAUAUGAUAACCAUAGAUUUAUAAUGUGGUUGGAUAACCCAUCAAAUAUCAUCUCUGCCUUUAUAACAGGAAACUGAUAUAAAGAAUAUAAAGAAUAUAAUUGUUUGGGAAAAAUAUGUAGAGUACACAAACAAUAUUUUUUUUUAAAUUAAAUAUGUAGAGAUUAUUGAGUGGUACAGCCAUGCAUAUACUUAUUCUCUAAUGCAGCAUCUGAUUUUCAGGAAUAUUGUGGGCAAAAUUAAUUGACAGCACUACAUUCUUUAAAGCUCUUUUUAUGUGCUUAAAAUUAAACCAGCACAAUGCAUAGGUCCUUAUAUUUACUCUACGUAAUUACCAGUAACAUGUUAAUCAAAUUACUGGAACUGGAACUAUUUUGAAAUUGUAAUGCUCAUUACUCAAGGUGAAUGAAACCUAAGUGUACAGAGAAUAUGUAUAACUGACAUUAGAGAUGUGCUAAGAAAGAAUUUUAACUUCGCUUAGGUAAAUACAUUUAGACUUGCGG